rnacentral:lncRNA from 1 species
GGGGUCUCAAACAUGACCGUGUGGCAGCCGCUAUAAUCAUGUCCCAUGCUACCCCAUCACCUGCACCUUUCAUGUCCACAGAGCUCUGUCAUCCUCACAGGGGAGACAGGCUCAGGGCCAUCAUCAUUCAGCUAGAAAUGGACAGAACUAGGCUUCAAAACGGGGCUCACACGCACGCCUCUGAGGCGGCCUAGGACUUGCUCUCCUCCACAGCCACCCCCGUUACAGCAACGAUCGUAACCAACCAGCACGUUCUGCUCCCGUGUUACGUUAGGCCCUCCCCAGCCUCCAACGCUGGACUGACAUCUUCUUAGAGUUACCCAGUUGACUGGGAAGCCUCUUGGGCAUUGCCAAAUGCAGACUUUUGAUCAAGGAAAUGUCCAUUUAUGUCCCAUGUGUCUGAAGACCAUCCGUCUCUGGCUGCAGUCGCUGGAGACGUAAGCACAGGUUCUCUCGAGCACAACUUUUCCAGCCAGAAACUGAAAAGGAAAGUUCCGUGCGCCCUCUUGUGGGCAGAUGUAGCGCUGCAGGGCCUCGCCCACCCACCCCUGCCCGUGGGAGGAGCCGAAGGAGACGGACCGGGCACCGCCGCCCUCGCGACCCACGUUCUAGCGGAGGCAGACGGGAAAAGAAGCAGACAGAUGGACAAGGUCCUCUCAGAAAGCGAAAGGAAAGAACAGGACAGAGACCAUAACUUUUAUUCACCACUGGAUCCUCCGUGCCUGGCCGAGCUCCUGGCAUCCGAGUGACAUUUGUGGAGUGAAUGAGUGAGCCCCAGGAGCGGGGAGCCAGCGUGGGUCUUAGGGACGAUCUGGCCCAGGAGCCGUCCUCUUCUAUUUGUGGCACAGAGCCUCUUCCCAAAUGGAAUCUAUGCAGAGCCUCAGAGCCGAGACGCAGCAGCCUGAGCCUUGCCCUCCCGGCUCUGUCUCCAGGCGGUGAGGGCCCUGACCGAGCCCGGGACGCCGCAGGUGGCCGAGUUGUCAGGACCGGCCCCUCAGCCCUGGGUUUCCCCAGCUGCCCCGCUCUGAUCUUUGGAACAGAGGCGCAAUGGGACAUGGCGUUUCAAAGCGUCAGAAGCAGUGUCAGAGGUGGUCAGAGUUCCGUGUAUUGGAGAAAAAUGUCAUGCAGAAAUGUAUGUGGGAACCGAUGACUCAUUCCUGGGCAUGGGUGAGCUCUGUGGUUUUUACGUCAAAGCACAGUGAGCGAUUGUGCCACUUGGGCUCGCCCACACCUGGGAGAAUUCCUGGAAGGCUGUGUGUCCUGAGGACCGGGCAUGGACCACUCCCACUCCCACCCCCUCCCUUUCCUCCUCGAGAGCAUUGCUGCAACCUCCUCUGAUGCCAGGCAGGGCAGCCCCAUGAGCCUAGGAGGAGGAGUCAGCAGAGGCCUGGCUCACGGGGCAUCUG